rnacentral:rRNA from 1 species
UACGAAGGUGGCAAGCGUUGUUCGGAUUUACUGGGCGUAAAGGGAGCGUAGGUGGUUAGGUAAGCCCUCCGGGAAAUCUUCAGGCUUAACCUGAAAAGGUCGGGGGGGACUGCCUGGCUAGAGGACGGGAGAGGAGCGCGGAAUUCCCGGUGUAGCGGUGAAAUGCGUAGAGAUCGGGAGGAAGGCCGGUGGCGAAGGCGGCGCUCGUGGAACGUUUCUGACCACUGAGGCUCGAAAGCGUGGGAGCAACAGG